rnacentral:rRNA from 1 species
UACGGAGGGCGCGGGCGUUAAUCGGAAUUACUGGGCGUAAAGCGCGCGUAGGCUGUUGUGUAAGUUGGGGGUGAAAUCCCACGGCUCAACCGUGGAACAGCCCUUGAUACUGCGCGACUUGAAUCCGGGAGAGGGUGGCGGAAUUCCAGGUGUAGGAGUGAAAUCCGUAGAUAUCUGGGGGAACAUCAGUGGCGAAGGCGGCCACCUGGACCGGUAUUGACGCCGAGGCGCGAAAGCGUGGGGAGCAAACAGG